AAGAGAAGAGCCAUCAGGUUGACAGGUCCUUGAAUCUAAAACCCUGAGACACCUCGCCAACGACACUCCCCUGCUAUCUAAAAGCCCUCCUCCCCAUCACAGAUAUCACACGGUUGCUAAUAAAAGGUUUAAGCUCUUUUUGCACCAGCGAAGAAUUGGACUCUUGCCCCGUGGACUCUGAUUUAUUAAAGGGAGGAUGAAAGAAACAUAAAGCACUGAGUCUCAUAUGCAUAUUUCAUUCCCUUGGAAAUCGCUGUUGAAAUGAACCUUCUCCCAAGGAGGAAGGAAACGGGUGUGCAGACUGUGCUGAGUUUGUUCUGGAAUCAGAGAGAAUCCUAAGAACUUUUAAACAGUGGAACUUGCAUCUUUGGGAGAUCAUUGCUGAGGUCUUAGGGGUUAUGUUUGGAACAGAAUGGGACAGGGAGAACGGAAAUGGAAACAAAGUCUUGUGUCUUUGAGAUAACCUGCCAGAAAUGGCGAGUGCACAAGCCAGGGCAGCGAUGGCAGAGACGGAGACACAGGAAGGUAAUUUUAUUGUAUGAUAAAACAAACAGGAUUUAGUGUUUGAACAGAAUGGGUGUGAAGGGCAAGGCAGAGAAGGUGGAUAAAUCUGAGCAUUCUAUACUGUGUGAUCAUGCUACAAAUAACAAAGAAAAAUAUAUCUAUCGUUGACUUGGGGAAACGUAGACAAGGAUGAAGCACACAGAGCUAGUUGUGCGCAUUAGGAAAUGUGUAAAUCUGAGCUUGUAGC